AGGCCUUGGCAUUGUGGAGAUGAACUAGGCAGGCCCUCUCCCUCAAGUACUUCCCAGCCCAGGGAAGGGGGCAGGACCACACCUGAGGGCUAUCCUAGAGAUCUGAACAGUGGGGACAGAAUGAAGAGAGCUGGCUUGGACAGCUUUAUGUAGCAGAGCUGGUACAAGCGACUUAGGCCUUGAAGGGACUCCUGAGCAUCAUUCAGGGAAUUCUCUGGUCUCAAAGGCAAAGGAACCAGCUGAUUUAUCUGAUUUAUCCCUGGGAGCCACACCCAGCACAGGGCCAAGCACGAACACAACAUCACAUGAACGAGGACAGUGAGUCACUCGGGAUAUGGAGAGAUGCAAGAGGAUCAGAAGUUUGAGGCCAUCCUCAGGAACACAGCAAGUCUGAGGGCAGCCCGAGCCACACAAGCCUCUUACCAAGAAAGGAUGAAGCAGAUGUUCCCACUCUACUCUAAAAUAGGCUGCCAAGCACACCCAAGAGUGUGUCUUGUGACCCCACAUUAGAAGACCUUGACACUCGGUGUGAUCGCAUCACAGAACCUGAUCUAUACCCAAGGGUGGGAACCGAAUCAGACGUCCCUACCCAUCAUGGAGGCCCUCCCACUCACUCACUCACUCACUCACUACUGUGUGACCUUGGGAAGCCACUGAACUGCUCUAGUCUCUCAACCGUAAGAUAGACUAAUGGUUACAUCUCCCCUGAGAGCUUGGCAGAAGGGUUAACAUUAAUAUGUACUGAAUGCUAUUGAUUAUAUAAAGUUAUUGUAUA
rnacentral:lncRNA from 1 species